AACGAACGCUGGCGGCAGGCUUAACACAUGCAAGUCGAGCGCCCCGCAAGGGGAGCGGCAGACGGGUGAGUAACGCGUGGGAAUCUACCCAACUCUACGGAAUAACUCAGGGAAACUUGUGCUAAUACCGUAUACGCCCUUCGGGGAAGAUUUAUCGGAGUUGGAUGAGCCCGCGUUGGAUUAGCUAGUUGGUGGGGUAA
rnacentral:rRNA from 1 species